AUUGAACGCUGGCGGCAGGCUUAACACAUGCAAGUCGAGCGGAGAUGAGGUGCUUGCACCUUAUCUUAGCGGCGGACGGGUGAGUAAUGCUUAGGAAUCUGCCUAUUAGUGGGGGACAACAUUCCGAAAGGAAUGCUAAUACCGCAUACGUCCUACGGGAGAAAGCAGGGGAUCUUCGGACCUUGCGCUAAUAGAUGAGCCUAGGUCGGAUUAGCUAGUUGGUGGGGUAAAGGCCUACCAAGGCGACAAUCUGUAGCGGGUCUGAAAGGAUGAUCCGCCGCACUGGGACUGAGAAACGGCCCAGACUCCGACGGGAGGCAGCAGUGGGGAAUAUUGGACAAUGGGGGGAACCCUGAUCCAGCCAUGCCGCGUGUGUGAAGAAGGCCUUAUGGUUGUAAAGCACUUUAAGCGAGGAGGAGGCUACUGAGACUAAUACUCUUGGAUAGUGGACGUUACUCGCAGAAUAAGCACCGGCUAACUCUGUGCCAGCCGCCGCAGUAA
rnacentral:rRNA from 1 species